rnacentral:rRNA from 1 species
UACGUAGGGUGCGAGCGUUAAUCGGAAUUACUGGGCGUAAAGCGUGCGCAGGCGGUUUUGUAAGCCAGAUGUGAAAUCCCCUGGCUUAACCUGGGAAUGGCAUUUGGGACUGCAAGGCUUGAGUUUGGCAGAGGAGACUGGAAUUCCUGGUGUAGCAGUGAAAUGCGUAGAUAUCAGGAGGAAUACCGAUGGCGAAGGCAGGUCUCUGGGCUGAAACUGACGCUCAUGCACGAAAGCGUGGGGAGCAAACAGG